AGAGAGUCGUUGAGCAGGCUCAGGUCUUAUCCAGAGAGUCGUUGAGCAGGCUCAGGUCUUAUCCAGAGAGUCGUUGAGCAGGCUCAGGUCUUAUCCAGAGAGUCGUUGAGCAGGCUCAGGUCUUAUCCAGAGAGUCGUUGAGCAGGCUCAGGUCUUAUCCAGAGAGUCGUUGAGCAGGCUCAGGUCUUAUCCUGAGAGUCGUUGAGCAGGCUCAGGUCUUAUCCUGAGAGUCGUUGAGCAGGCUCAGGUCUUAUCCAGAGAGUCGUUGAGCAGGCUCAGGUCUUAUCCUGAGAGUCGUUGAGCAGGCUCAGGUCUUAUCCGGAGAGUCAGGCUCAGGUCUUAUCCAGAGAGUCGUUGAGCAGGCUCAGGUCUUAUCCUGAGAGUCGUUGAGCAGGCUCAGGUCUUAUCCUGAGAG